AGUGAAAGAGAAAGCGAUAGUCGGAGUGUUUUUAACUGCACAGGAGAUAGAGAUACCCUAAUAGCGGAUGAACUAUUUUAUUAACAAAUAUCUGAAGAAAUGUCUUAGAACUGUGUUGAAGGCAGGCCUGCAUCUUUGGCUUACUUUGAUUUCUGUUCAAAAUAAUCGCGUUUGUUUCUGCCUCCAACAACAAUUUCUUUGUAGAUCGUCAGAGGGAGCAGAAAAUGCGUUUAUUUGGUCGACAGGGUUUCAAGAACAUCUCUACCUCUGUGGAAGCUAAUAAUAAAUACCAUGGGCUGGUAAACCAAGGUGCGACGUGUUACCUGAACAGUGUGCUGCAGGUGCUGUUUAUGACCGAAGACUUCAGAGAAGCUGUGAAAAGAUCCUCCAAACAAAAUGCUGGGCUUCUUGGUGCCCUUACAGACUUGUUUGAUAAUUUACAGAAACAAACAGCAAACACACAAAAAAAUAAUAACCCAGCUGGGCAUCAGCAGAGUGUAUGAACAGCGAGAUGCUGCUGAAUGCAUCGAGAAGAUUUUAACAAUGACCAGUCCUGAGGCAUCACAGAUCUUCCACGGUCUGUUAGCAAACCAAAUCACCUGCUCUAGAGGUCAUAAAGAGACUGACAGGGAUGCACCAUUUUGGCAUCUUCCUCUGUCAUUGGUGGAUUUUUACAAUCAAGACUACAGUGUAUUUUCAUUUUUCAGGUGAACGGCAUCGAGGAGUUUUUCAGACCUACAUGUCUAAAUGGAGAACACCAGAUGCACUGUGACCGCUGCGGUCGCAAAGUUGAUGCUACUAUUACAGAUGUAAUAAAACAUCACCCAGAUGUUUUGAUUCUGCUGCUGAAGAGGUUUGAGUUCAACUACAGUUACAUGUCCUACUUCAAAAUCAGCUGUUUUGUGGAGGUUCCCUACAGCCUGCAAAUACCAGAGAAUGAGGCGUAUGAACUGUAUGCAGUAGUGGAUCAUUUUGGUGGUCUGAGAGGUGGACAUUACAGCGCAACAAUCAAAAUACAGGAUGAAGACAGAUGGUAUAAGUUUGAUGAUGCCCAGGUCACACCGCUUGAUUACCAGCCAUUCCAGGAGAAAUCCCAGAGUGCAUAUCUUUUAUUUUACAGAAAGGCAAAAAGCAAGAGUCAUAAUUGUUACCACAGGCAUUUGUUUCUUUAUAUAUUUUUAUUAUUGUUAUUUUAUUAUUUAUGCUGUAGUAGAUAGUUAAAACAGGCAGGGUUCACCUGCAAUCAGUGACAAAUAUGACCAGUGAGAAGACGCUUAUGAGAGAGCAAAGUCAGUUAUCACACUGCAGAGUGAUAAUACACACAAAAAAUGAUGGACAAGUAUAAUUACAGUGAUAAUUAGUGUUGGAUCUGAACUCUGCUGUAAAUGAGAUUACCCAGUCAAUGAAGGUUUUUGAGGACACUUGGGGGAGAAAUGGACAUGAAGAAAUUGUCCGGCAUCAUGAAAAUCCAGGAGUGAAGUCAGUGACAGAGAUGCAGCUGUGAUAAUCUAAUAGACAGGUUGAGAUUAGCGACGGAGAAGACAAACGUGCAACAACUGAGGAUGAACAUCAAAACAAGCUAAUUAAAUCUCAGGAUUUGCUUGCAUGCUGUGAUCAUUGUCCUGUUGCAUACCUGUUGGACAGACAACCUCUUUUUUGUGUGUGUGUGUGUGUGUGUGUGUGUGUGUGUGUGUGUGUGUGUGUGUGUGUUUUAUAUUUAAAAUAAAUUCCACAAUUUUAAAUCUAAUUUAUUUUUUGAUUUAUUUCAAAUUCAUCUGAGGUGUGUUUGCAUUACUUCCACAGCCAAUCAGGUGUCCUAAACCUUUGAAGUAAUACUAUUUUAUUUAAUAUUUUAAAAUGCAGUAUUGAGAGAUGAUUUGAAAAUAAUGAAGGAAACAUUAACAAACAAACUGUUUAAAUGAAUUAAGUAAAAGUGGGG